rnacentral:rRNA from 1 species
UAUACAGCGAAACUGCGAAUGGCUCAUUAUAUAAGUUAUCGUUUAUUUGAUAGUGCCUUACUACUUGGAUAACCGUGGUGAUUCUAGAGCUAAUACAUGCUAAAAACCCCGACUUCGGAAGGGGUGUAUUUAUUAGAUACAAAACCAAUGCCCUUCGGGGCUCUUUGGUGAUUCAUGAUAACUAUACGAAUCGCACGGCCUUGCGCCGGCGAUGGUUCAUUCAAAUUUCUUCCCUAUCAACUUUCGAUGUUUGGGUAUUGGCCAAACAUGGUUGCAACGGGUAACGGAGGGUUAGGGCUCGACCCCGGAGAAGGAGCCUGAGAAACGGCUACUACAUCCAAGGAAGGCAGCAGGCGCGCAAAUUACCCAAUCCCGACUCGGGGAGGUAGUGACAAUAAAUACUGAUACAGGGCCCUUUCGGGCCUUGUAAUUGGAAUGAGUACAAUUUAAAUCCCUUAACGAGGAACAAUUGGAGGGCAAGUCUGGUGCCAGCAGCCGCGGUAAUUCCAGCUCCAAUAGCGUAUAU